GUCUUCGUGGCUUAACGGUAGCACACUCGGUGCGUAUUCGAGAGUUCCAGGUUCGAGUCCUGGCGAGGGCA
rnacentral:tRNA from 1 species